rnacentral:tRNA from 1 species
GCCUAUUUAGCUUAAUUGGUAGAGCAUCGGUUUUGUAAACCGACGGUUAUCGGUUCAAGUCCGAUAGUAGGCU